UAUAAUUGUCAGCUAAGUGGCGCACGGGUGAGUAAUGUAUAGAUAACCUGCCCUUAAGAAAGGAAUAACAGUUGGAAACGACUGCUAAUGCCCUAUAUGCCUUUAAUACAUAAGUAUGCAAGGGAAACGCCUUAGUGCUUAAGGAUGGGUCUGUAUGGUAUCAGCUUGUUGGUGAGGUAAUGGCUCACCAAGGCUAUGACGCCUAACUGGUUUGAGAGGAUGAUCAGUCACACUGGAACUGAGACACGGUCCAGACUCCUACGGGAGGCAGCAGUGGGGAAUAUUGCACAAUGGACGAAAGUCUGAUGCAGCAACGCCGCGUGGAGGAUGACACAUUUCGGUGCGUAAACUCCUUUUAUAUAGGAAGAUAAUGACGGUACUAUAUGAAUAAGCACCGGCUAACUCCGUGCCAGCAGCCGCGGUAAUACGGAGGGUGCAAGCGUUACUCGGAAUCACUGGGCGUAAAGAGCGUGUAGGCGGGUAUAUAAGUCAGAAGUGAAAUCCAAUAGCUCAACUAUUGAACUGCUUUUGAAACUGUAUACCUAGAAUGUGGGAGAGGUAGAUGGAAUUUCUGGUGUAGGGGUAAAAUCCGUAGAGAUCAGAAGGAAUACCGAUUGCGAAGGCGAUCUACUGGAACAUUAUUGACGCUGAGACGCGAAAGCGUGGGGAGCAAACAGGAUUAGAUACCCUGGUAGUCCACGCCCUAAACGAUGUACACUAGUUGUUGUGAGGCUCGACCUUGCAGUAAUGCAGUUAACACAUUAAGUGUACCGCCUGGGGAGUACGGUCGCAAGAUUAAA
rnacentral:rRNA from 1 species